rnacentral:tRNA from 1 species
CAUGCACUUUCAGUUUCAUGUAAUUAUAUCAUUGGUCUAACAGCUCAAUACCUAUAAAUGCACCUAAUUGCAGAACAAUCCAUGUCAGCCGGAAUAGCUCAGUUGGGAGAGCGUUAGACUGAAGAUCUAAAGGCCCCCGGUUCAAUCCCGGGUUCCGGCACGGAACAAUCCGGCGGCUGGCAGGAUAUUUUUUGCUACUCACCACUUUUGCAAGAUAAUCCAAAGAAACUUUUCUCCAUAGAAUGACUAGAUGUAACUAUACUAAUGGCAUGUCAGAUUGCAGAAACAGUGCACAUGAUACGGGAGAAGAAAACACACAUUUACCAGCUCAACGGUCAUGUCUUUCUAAUGCUCAACUGUUCGUUAAUCUAACUUGGUAACGUUGGCGAUGAUCCUUUAUGAUGUCAAGUCAAUCACGGAUGUUGAAAGAUAACGUCGACGAAAGAUUGACUGUUUUCUUCUCUUCUUGGAAGAAGAAAACAGGGUGUGUUUUUUUUUUUUUUUUUUCUUUUAAUUUAUUAAAGCUAAAAUCUUAAUGUUAAUAUGUACACGGACUUUUUCACAUAGAAAUGAAUGAUAAAUAUUCUUAGAACACGUGUUUGAAACUAUACUGGUAUCUAUAGUUAUUUCUAAAUUUAUUCCUUA